rnacentral:rRNA from 1 species
CAGCUCUCCGAGUGGUAGGGAUGAUUAUUGGGCUUAAAGCGACCGUAGCCGGCUUAGCAAGUCUCCUGUUAAAUUCAGCGACCUAAUCGUUGAGCCGCGGGAGACACUACUAGGCUAGGAGGCGGGAGAGGCCGACGGUAUUCUCGGGGUAGGGGUGAAAUCCUAUAAUCCCGGGAGGACCACCAGUGGCGAAGGCUGUCGGCUAGAACGCGCUCGACGGUGAGGGACGAAAGCUGGGGGAGCGAACCGGAUUAGAUACCCGAGUAGUCC